GAGGAAUAAGCAUCGGCUAACUCCGUGCCAGCAGCCGCGGUAAUACGGGGGAUGCAAGCGUUAUCCGGAAUCAUUGGGCGUAAAGCGCCUGUAGGUUGUUUAAUAAGUCUGUUGUUAAAGACUAGGGCUUAACCCUAGAAAAGCAAUGGAAACUACUAGACUAGAGUAUGGCAGGGGUAGAGGGAAUUUCUAGUGUAGCGGUGAAAUGCGUAGAUAUUAGAAAGAACACCGGUGGCGAAAGCGCUCUACUGGACCAUUACUGACACUCAGAGGCGAAAGCUAGGGUAGCAAAAGGGAUUAGAUACCCCUGUAGUCUUAGCCGUAAACGAUGGAUACUAGAUGUUGUGCAUAAAGUACAGUAUCAUAGCUAACGCGUUAAGUAUCCCGCCUGGGGAGUACGCUCGCAAGGGUGAAACUCAAAGGAAUUGACGGGGGCCCGCACAAGCGGUGGAGCAUGUGGUUUAAUUCGAUGCAACGCGAAGAACCUUACCAGGGCUUGACAUACUACAAAUCUUUUUGAGAAAGAGGAGUGCCUUCGGGAAUGUAGAUACAGGUGGUGCAUGGCUGUCGUCAGCUCGUGUCGUGAGAUGUUGGGUUAAGUCCCGCAACGAGCGCAACCCUUAUUUUUAGUUACUAAUUCGUUAGGUUUUCUAGAAAGACUGCCGGUGACAAACCGGAGGAAGGUGAGGAUGACGUCAAGUCAGCAUGCCCCUUAUGUCCUGGGCUACACACGUGCUACAAUGGCUAAGACAAAGAGUCGCGAGCUCGUGAGAGUCAGCUAAUCUCGUAAACUUAGCCUAAGUUCAGAUUGUAGGCUGCAACUCGCCUACAUGAAG
rnacentral:rRNA from 1 species